AAUGUAUGCAAGUAUGAUAUGAUAGUGAUGAUAGUUUUGUCAAUGAGUAUAUAAGUAUAUUAAUGUAGGUAUGUGGGAGAGUGCUGAGUAGGUCAAACUGAUUUAAAUAUAAAACAUGUUUUGUAUUCAGUCACAGGCAAUUCAAGGUAAUAGGGUUAGGUUUCCGAACUAACAAAUUUAAAGUGAAUGUGUAAGUGGUAAAAAAACGUCAAAAACAGCAAAACGUGUUCCGUUUUUUUCCUGGAAAACUUGAAUGUACCCAUUAGAAAUGUCGCCUACCUCAAAUAUUUCUAAUCCGGAUAACUUUCCAAAUAAUCCUGCACUUGCUGCACACCCUCCAGCCAGUAUGGCGUAAUGCAUUUGCAUGUUGUAUUAUAUUGUUUGAAUAGUGUACUAACCUAAUUUGUAAUACAAUCAUUUACAUAUUUCA